CUAGCUAGAUAGAUUUUUUGAG
rnacentral:siRNA from 1 species